GACGAACGCUGGCGGCGUGCUUAACACAUGCAAGUCGAACGGAAAGGCCCUGCUUUUGUGGGGUGCUCGAGUGGCGAACGGGUGAGUAACACGUGAGUAACCUGCCCUUGACUUUGGGAUAACUUCAGGAAACUGGGGCUAAUACCGGAUAGGAGCUCCUGCUUCAUGGUGGGGGUUGGAAAGUUUCGGCGGUUGGGGAUGGACUCGCGGCUUAUCAGCUUGUUGGUGGGGUAGUGGCUUACCAAGGCUUUGACGGGUAGCCGGCCUGAGAGGGUGACCGGCCACAUUGGGACGGGGAUACGGCCCAGACUCCUACGGGAGGCAGCAGUGGGGAAUAUUGCACAAUGGGCUGAAGCCUGAUGCAGCAACGCCGCGUGGGGGAUAACGGCCUUCGGGUUGUAAACCGCUUUCGCCUGUGACGAAGCGUGAGUGACGGUAAUGGGUAAAGAAGCACCGGCUAACUACGUG
rnacentral:rRNA from 1 species